rnacentral:rRNA from 1 species
GAUGAACGCUGGCGGCGUGCCUAAUACAUGCAAGUCGAGCGAACAGACGAGGAGCUUGCUCCUCUGACGUUAGCGGCGGACGGGUGAGUAACACGUGGAUAACCUACCUAUAAGACUGGGAUAACUUCGGGAAACCGGAGCUAAUACCGGAUAAUAUAUUGAACCGCAUGGUUCAAUAGUGAAAGACGGUUUUGCUGUCACUUAUAGAUGGAUCCGCGCCGCAUUAGCUAGUUGGUAAGGUAACGGCUUACCAAGGCAACGAUGCGUAGCCGACCUGAGAGGGUGAUCGGCCACACUGGAACUGAGACACGGUCCAGACUCCUACGGGAGGCAGCAGUAGGGAAUCUUCCGCAAUGGGCGAAAGCCUGACGGAGAAACGCCGCGUGAGUGAUGAAGGUCUUCGGUUCGUAAAACUCUGUUAUUAGGGAAGAACAAAUGUGUAAGUAACUAUGCACGUAUUGCCGGUACCUAAUCAGAAAGCCACGGCUAACUACGU